AGAAGGCGAGGUUUCCCUUUGCAGCGAGUGCCUUGGGCCGUGGAAGGAGUGUCCCACAAGCUUAAACUGGAAUGUGCGAAAGAGUGGCCCAGAGGCAUCCACAGUGCUGGACCCAUCAUUACAGUGAAUCUAUGGACUAGUGUUGCUAAGGUGGGCUCCAGGCAAUGCACUUGGUUCUUCCCCUCUCCAUUUCACCCACACAACUUCUGAAUCAGGAUGCAGAGAGGAACCAGCUGACAUCUCAGAGACAAAGGUCACCAGCAUUGGGGAAGAAGAGAAAAUGCCUAGAAAGGAUUGCAUCGAAAGGACUACGAACAGCACUGAAGUGGCAUUUCAAAUGACAGUGGGGAAAUGCAGAUAGAAGGGCAGUGCCAUGCAGAGAUGAUGUGCCUCAAUUAUCCCACUGUGGUACUUGCUUGAUGGAGAGCUGAGAAACCACACAACUAUCUGACUGGUCUGUUUGUUGCUUUUCCUCUAUCAAAUAUUGAGGCUGCCUGGGAUCCUGAACCCACAACAUUGGUGUGCCUCAUUCUUCAUCAAGUGGCAGAAAGCUCAGCGGAAUGCAUCCAGGGUUAGUUUCCUUCCAAGGACAGAACAUCUAGGAGAAAGGUUUGCUUGGGCUUCUGGCUUCACGAAUCAUGUCUGAUUGACCUCAUUUGGGAAGACUCUCCUCUGGAUCAUCACACCAGAAAACUUCAGUCCAACUGGAAGAGAACUGGCCUAUUUCUUCACACACAUAUGCAUGGAUGUCUGUCCAUGUGAUCUAGUUUCUUGGCACAAUUUUAACUUGUCAAGCAAUGGCCCUCCUGAAAAGACAUGCAUUGCGAACAUGAGUUGCAGGCAUGCUAAGAAGUCAAAUAGUGUGGGAGGGAAUCUUUAUACUGCUUUCAUUUUUAUCCCAUUCUUUCUCCUGUGAAGGGUGGCAUACAUGCUUCUCUCACAUUUGAUCCAUGCAGCAACCCUGCAAGGUUUGUUAGGGUAAUUUGUAGUGGGCAGAUAAGAGCCACCCACUGAACUUCAUAGCUGAGCCCAGGUCCUGCCAUUUUAAGGGAUAAACGAGAUGAAACAGUUAGCCCAUCAUUAGAAGCAGAGGUUCUGUAAGAGGCAAAAGACACAUGUUUUUGCUAAUAAUUUUUUCCUCAGCCCCUUGUGUCACAAAUUAGCUUGCUUUUGCCUUGCAGUUUUUCACUGAGAAUUCACAUUGAUUCUGAUUGCAAAUCUAAUCAGGCAUGGAACUUUGAAAGAAUUGUGCAGCUGGAGGGAAAAUGUUGGAAUAACAGGAAAAAUACAUUUCUCUCAACAUGAAAUUUGGUCCUGUGUCUAAGAUCCUAGUGUAGCCUUUUCCAAUUUGCUGUGCUCCAGAAAUGUUUCCACAAUCAGCACAGCCAUAGGCCCUCAAGUGAGUAGUAACUACUGUACUCACGUGUUAAGCAGCCUACCUACUAAGAGAGCACAGUCAUCUUCUCAUUGUGAUAUAGAGUCCUCUAGUUUGUCUGGAUUGUGCACCAGAACACAUUCUGCAGUCUCUUGUGAAUGUAUAAAAGUCUCUGCUCACAUCUCUUAGUUUGUGCACUCCUCACAUUACACUUCUGUCUUCCACCCUCUGACAUAUAGUCUUGCUGUGGGAGUCUCUUGUCCAAGGAACUUAAACGGUUCUGGAGCAAAGGUUGUAAAAAGGCAGCAUGGCCAAGUCUGAUUUGGGAGAGAGGAGAUUUUGGGAGCUCUGGUUUCAAAACGUAACUUUUCCAAGAUCCAUUAGAAACUAUCAUGGAGUAACUGUUGGUUGUAGUGGCAAUAAGGUGAACAAGAUGACACGAGCGAGGGAAGGUUAAAGAAAUUGCUUGUACAUAGAGAUCUAAAGAUCUAGGGAGUGCCAGUGUUGUCAUAAGAUUAUGCUGUGAUUUAGAAAACUAAAUGGAUGUAGGUGGCUCAGAAAGUAGGAUUUUAACCAUGGUGUUCUUACACAGCUGGCAUUCAUUUUAGUAAGGCUUGCUUGUGAGAAAAAUGAGAAACCUCCUGGUGGACUGAGUCCUCCAUUCUGCUAGAGGAGGAACUGCCUCAGCUUCAACCGGUGCCUUGUAAUGUAUAUCAGGAUUUCAAACCAGGCUUUUAAAAUAUAUAUUUGAAAAACUACUUCAGUUCUCCAGAAAACACUCGGCUUAACAGAGAAUCCAUAAUGCUAAACAUGUUUGUUUAAAGAACUCCACAUUAUUGCUGCAUAUUAUAAGAACGCUGCUUGACUAACACAUUCCAAUUAGCAGAUUGGGCA